rnacentral:rRNA from 1 species
AUAAGCUACAAAGAGCGUAGGGAGGAUGCCUUGGUAUAUGGCGCCGAAGAAGGACGUGACAAGCUGCGAAAAGCCGUGAGGAGUUGCACAUAAACGAAAGGACUCACGGAUAUCCGAAUGAGGGAACUCAGCGCGAGUAAUAUUGCGUUACGGCAUAAUGAAUAAAUAGUUAUGUCGGGGGAACCCGGGGAACUGAAACAUCUAAUUACCCGGAGGAAAAGAAAGUAAAAACGAUUCCGAAAGUAGUGGCGAGCGAAAUCGGAGAAGCCCAAACGAUAUAUAGAAAUAUGUAUCGGGUAAGGACUUGCGGAAAGCGAAAGGAUGAUCUAGUGGAACAGAACUGGAAAGUUCGGUCAGAGAGGGUAAAAGCCCCGUAGACGAAAGAUUGAUCUAACGCGAGCAAGAAUCCGGAGUACGUCGGGACACGAGGAAUCCUGACGGAAGAAAGGAGGACCAUCUCCUAAGGCUAAAUACGACCAUAUGACCGAUAGAGUAUAGUACCGUGAGGGAAAGGUGAAAAGAACCCCGGGAGGGGAGUGAAAAAGAACCUGAAACCCUAUGCUUACGAGCAGACAUAGCACUAUUAAAAGUGUGGUGUCGUACUUUUUGUAGAACGGGCCGGCGAGUUACGACGUUAUGCGAGGUUAAGAUGUAAAGCAUCGGAGCCGAAGCGAAAGCGAGUUUGAAGAGAGCGAUGAUAGUAUUGCGUCGUAGACCCGAAACCGGAUGACCUAACCAUGAGCAGGUUGAAGCAGCGGUAAAACGCUGUGGAGGACCGAACGCACGCCUGUUGAAAUAGUCGGCGAUGACUUGUGGUUAGCGGAGAAAUUCCAAUCGAAUCCGGAUAUAGCUGGUUCUCCUCGAAAUAGCUUUAGGGCUAGCCUGUAGCAAGAAUACCGAAGGUAGAGCACUGUAUGGUCUAGGGGGUUUCACGACCUACCGAAACUUAACAAACUUCGAAUGACGGAUAUUUGAUGCUAUGGAGUCAGACAGCGACAGAUAAGUGCCGUUGUCAAAAGGGAAACAGCCCAGAUCCGCAACUAAGGUCCCCAAGUACAGGUUAAGUGGAAAACGAUGUGUCAUUGCAUAAACAACCAGGACGUUGGCUUAGAAGCAGCCACGCGUUCAAAGAGUGCGUAAUAGCUCACUGGUCGAGUGAUGGUGCGCGGAAGAUUCACGGGGCUAAAACCUGACACCGAAGUUCGGGAAUACAGAAUAAUGUAUUGGUAGAGGAGCAAUCUAUACGGGCGGAAGCGAUACCGGAAGGAGUCGUGGACUGUAUAGAAGAGAGAAUGCCGGCAUAAGUAGCGAGAGCGGAGCGAGAAACUCCGCCGUCGAAAGUCUGAGGUUUUCCGGGGAAGGUUCGUCCGCCCGGAGAAAGUCGGGACCUAAGCGGAGGCCGAAAGGCGUACGUGAUGGACAGCAGGUUGAUAUUCCUGCACUACCGAGAGAGACAAUGAAGCAAUGACACGGAAAGAUAGAAGAAGCGCGCGGAUGGAAAAGCGCGUCCAAGCAAAGAGGGUGGCUGGUAGUAAAGAACGCCAGUCGGAAGCCUGAUUUGUGACGGGGAGUGGACCAAGGAAACGAAGUCUUUGAAUCUACGCCGGCGAGAAAAGUUGCUAAAUAUUUCGAGGUACCCGUACCGCAAACCGACACAGGUAGACGAGAAGAAAAUUCUAAGACGAACGGGAGAACCCUUGUUAAGGAACUCGGCAAAACGACCCCGUAACUUCGGGAGAAGGGGAGCCAUCGAGAGAUGGCCGCAGUGAAGAGGCCCAAGCGACUGUUUAUCAAAAACACAGGUUUCUGCUAAGGCGAAAGCCAAGGUAUAGGAGCUGACUCCUGCCCAGUGCCGGAAGGUCAAGGGGACUUGUUAGUCGAAAGGCGAAGCAACGAACUUAAGCCCCGGUGAACGGCGGCCGUAACUAUAACGGUCCUAAGGUAGCGAAAUUCCUUGUCGGGUAAGUUCCGACCCGCACGAAAGGCGUAAUGAUUUGGACGCUGUCUCAACAGGGGGCCCGGCGAAAUUGUAGUAUACGUGAAGAUGCGUAUUAACCCGCGACUGGACGGAAAGACCCCGUAGAGCUUUACUGUAGCUUGAUAUUGAUGCACGACAACGAAUGCACAGGAUAGGUGGGAGACUUAGAGACAGGGACUUCGGUUUCUGAGGAGUCGACGUUGGGAUACCACCCUUUCAUUGUUGGGCAUCUAACGGACGGCCGUGAACCGGCGUACGGACAGUGUCAGGCGGGCAGUUUGACUGGGGCGGUCGCCUCCUAAAAUGUAACGGAGGCGCCCAAAGGUUCCCUCAGGAUGGUUGGAAAUCAUCCGGCGAGUGUAAAGGCACAAGGGAGCUUGACUGCGAGACCGGCAGGUCGGGCAGAUACGAAAGUAGGGCUUAGUGAUCCGGCGGUAGAGAAUGGAAUUGCCGUCGCUUAACGGAUAAAAGUUACCUCGGGGAUAACAGGCUGAUCUCCCCCAAGAGUUCACAUCGACGGGGAGGUUUGGCACCUCGAUGUCGGCUCG